CAUAUGUCUAUCUAGGAAAGAUGAAGAAGAAAAAAAAAGAAACAGAAGAAAAAGAAACAAUAUGGGAGAAGAGAGCAAGAAAAGCAAUAGAGAAGCAUUGAUGUUGUAUAGGGUGAGUAUACAAAAGUGUUCAAGCACAAAGCACAGCAACAGUGUUGAAGCCAAGCCUUGUCAAUGGAGGCGCAACAAACUGAAAAGCUUCCAAAGGCUACUGAGAGAACUGAACUGUGUGUGUGUGCACAUAACUACUCCAUACUCAACA
rnacentral:lncRNA from 1 species